rnacentral:rRNA from 1 species
GACGAACGCUGGCGGCGUGCCUAAUACAUGCAAGUUGAGCGAUGAAGAUUGGUUCCUGCACCAAUUUGAAGAGCAGCGAACGGGUGAGUAACGCGUGGGGAAUCUGCCUUUGAGCGGGGGACAACAUUUGGAAACGAAUGCUAAUACCGCAUAACAACUUUAAACAUAAGUUUUAAGUUUGAAAGAUGCAAUUGCAUCACUCAAAGAUGAUCCCGCGUUGUAUUAGGUAGUUGGUGAGGUAAAGGCUCACCAAGGCGAUGAUACAUAGCCGACCUGAUAGGGUGGGCGGCCAGAGUGGGAGUGAGACAGGGCACAAAGGGAUACGGGAGGCAGCAGUAGGGAAACGUCGGCAAGGGACGAAAGACAGAGCGAGCAGCGCCGCGGGAGGGAAGAGGGUUUUCGGAUCGUAAAAGACGGUUGGUAGAGAAGAAAGUUGGUGAGAGUGGAAAGCACAGCAAGUGACGGUAACUACCCAGAAAGGGACGGCUAACUACGUG